CGGGAGCCAUCAGUGGGGAAUAUUGCACAAUGGGCGAAAGCCUGAUCCAGCAAUGCCGCGUGAGUGAUGAAGGCCUUAGGGUUGUAAAGCUCUUUUACUGGGGAUGAUAAUGACAGUACCCAGAGAAUAAGCUCCGGC
rnacentral:rRNA from 1 species